AGCAGUCGCCGCGGUAAUACGAAGGGGACAAGCGUUGUUCGGAAUUAUUGGGCGUAAAGGGUGCGUAGGCGGUUUGGCAAGUUUCGUGUGAAAACUUCGGGCUCAACCCGAAGCCUGCACGGAAAACUGCCGGGCUUGAGUAUGGGAGAGGUGAGUGGAAUUUCCGGUGUAGCGGUGAAAUGCGUAGAUAUCGGAAGGAACACCUGUGGCGAAAGCGGCUCACUGGACCAUAACUGACGCUGAGGCACGAAAGCUAGGGGAGCAAACAGGAUUAGAUACCCCAGUAGUCCCUGUCUCUUAUAC
rnacentral:rRNA from 1 species